rnacentral:rRNA from 1 species
UACGGGGGGAGCAAGCGUUGUUCGGAUUUACUGGGCGUAAAGGGCGCGUAGGCGGCGUGACAAGUCACUUGUGAAAUCUCCGGGCUUAACUCGGAACGGUCAAGUGAUACUGCUGUGCUAGAGUACAGAAGGGGCAAUCGGAAUUCUUGGUGUAGCGGUGAAAUGCGUAGAUAUCAAGAGGAACACCUGAGGUGAAGACGGAUUGCUGGGCUGAUACUGACGCUGAGGCGCGAAAGCUAGGGUAGCAAACGGG